GGAGGGGGUGCCGGUCUGCGGGCCAGCAGCUGGCAGCCUGCUACUCCUGCCAGGGUCCAGCGCUCCGCUAGGGUAGAGUCCGUCAUUAGUGCUGAAUCCAGUUGUGCCCGGACCAGAAGAGACACCAGAGCCAGUCCCGUCCCCUCCCCGGGCUGGUCAUAGCAGGGCCAUUUCCUAUUCUUCCACCACCUUACCUGGGCAGGUCAGACCCGGUUCACCUGACCGCUCACAGAUGUGUUCUCACUCACUCUCGACCGACGCAUGCUGGAGCAGAGCACACCCAGGCAGCGCCCAACCGGGACUCACCCACCUGCCCGGGUCCUCGCCUGCACACAGGACAAACUGAG
rnacentral:lncRNA from 1 species